rnacentral:rRNA from 1 species
AGUGAACGCUGGCGGCAGGCCUAACACAUGCAAGUCGAGCGGCUGAACGGUGCUUGCUCCCUGUUACAGCUGCGGACGGGUGAGUAAGUGCUAGAUACCUCGCUAUCAGCUUUUUCUAGCGGGCUGACAUGGGGACAAAUACCGUACUCCUGCAUACGACCUAAGUGUGGGAGCAUCGGACCUUAGGCUCUUGCUCGAUCCGAUGUCGGAUUAGCUAGUUGGUGGGGUAAAGGCCUACCAAGGCGACGAUCCGUAGCUGGUCUGAGAGGAUGAUCAGUCACACUGGAACUGAGACACGGUCCAGACUCCUACGGGAGGCAGCAGUGGGGAAUAUUGGACAAUGGGCGCAAGCCUGAUCCAGCCAUGCCGCGUGUGUGAAGAAGGCCUUCGGAUUGUAAAGCCCUUUAGUUGGGGAGGAAAAGCAGUAAGUUAAUACCUUGCUGUUUUGACGUUACCAAAAGAAUAAGCACCGGCUAACUUCGUG